AACAUAAUGCAACCAGGGAGAGUGUUGCUGUUUAGACGGACCUACAGAUUGAACACAGGCAACAUAGACACUCCAACAAAACACACACCUACACCCUUAAACCGCAGCAUCUUAAGCUGUCCUCUCUGUCUCCCAACACGCCAGGAAAUGUUUUUCUUCUCAGAGGCAGCCUAAGUGGAGUUGUCCACCGAAGCCAACCCUCUGUAAUUAACUGUCACAACGCUUCAAAACGUAACAAAUGGACUUUGUGUCAAGGAGGGCCCAUUAAUUUACUGGCCUCCGCUCGUCGAUCCAGAGCCUAUUAUCUCCAUUACGGUAGGGCUUUCAUGUCUGGGCAUCGCCUCCUGCUGAACCUUGAUCAUCUUUCUCUCUUUUGCUCAGAUUCCCUGGAACUUGCAGAAAGGCCUUGUGGGGAAUGUGGAUCACCACGUGCGGACGCUUGCUCCUCCUCAGCCACAUAAAAGCCCAGCUUGUGUUAAGCAGACUGCAGAGAGCCGGUGUGAAGACAGCCGGGCCCAAAGCUAAACGACUGUGGGAUUUCUCCUAACGUCAGUUAGAAACCCCCUCUGGUCAGCAAAACCUGCUCACGCAUGUCCAACUGUCUUGUUAGUCGGCCACCUGUGUGUAACGCGUGCCGGAUGUCCGGCCAUCCAGUCCGCAACGGAGAAAACGCACGCACAGGACCGCCUGAUGUUGUUGUGAAUGGGUUGUUUGCAUGAUUUGUGACACGGGCAAAGAGGGCAGCGCCCGCGCAUAUUUUACGGAGACAAAUUCAAGUGCAGGUGAAAUGGAAAACAACCCCAGAAAAUAGCCAACGGGGCAAAGUAAACAAGUCACCGGGGGGGUGACUUGUUUUGACAUACCAGGUCAAUUUAAGAGAAAAAAAAACAAUGCCACAAUCAAAAUGUUCAAUCUCAUUUUCAACAUAUUGAGUUGGUCAUGAUUACUUGAGGUAUUUAAUGUCCCUGGUACCUUUUUGUUUAGCUUUGAGUCAUGUCACUGACAGUUAUGUAAUUCAGCUUAAGCUGCAUUUCUGUUUAGUAUGUAGUGCAUUUUUGAAUGAAUUGAGCAUAAGAUUUAUAACACACUGUUGGUUGCAGUUGUUUUGUUAGAUCCUUGUCCUCCAACCAGGCAAACAAAUCUCUAAAACCCCUGAUCAUCCGCUCUUCCGAUACAAUAUCAGCUUGCAGUGACCACAGCCAUCAAUUUUUUUAUGCUGAUGUGACAGCUAUUGAUUAAAGUUGGGAGACUAUUUCAUUUCCGACUCCGAAGCUGACCACCUUUCUUGGACACGUACAAAUAAAUAUAAAUCAUGUUAACAUAAUCCAGAUAGGAAUUACUUUUGUUGCCACAAUGUUAUUGGGAUAAUAGUUUUGUACUAUAUAAAUACAACUUUUAGAAGACC